GCCUCGGUGGCUCAGUCGGUUGAGCGUCUGACUUCAGCUCAGGUCAUGAUCUCUCAGUUCACGGGGUCGAGCCCCGCAUCAGGCU
rnacentral:tRNA from 1 species